rnacentral:rRNA from 1 species
CCGUAAAAAGAGUAAAAGCUCGUAGUUGGAUUUCUGGCAAUGAAUAACUUAUUGAAAUCAGCUAGAAUCAGCUUUUGGGUUGGUUUUAGUGUUGUAUUUUAAUAAAUAGUUACUCUGCCAUCAUUCGUGGAGAAUAAUUUGGCUCUUAAUUGAGUUGGAUUAUAAUCCCGAUCAAUUACUUUGAGAAAAUUAGAGUGUUCAAAGCAGGCAAAAUGCAAAUGAAUACAUUAGCAUGGAAUAAUGAAAUAUAAGACUUUAGUCUUCAUUUUCAUUGGUUAUUAAAGACAAAAGUUAAGAUUGAUAGGGAUAGUUGGGGGUGCUAGUAUUCAACGGCCAGAGGCGAAAUUCUGUGAUUCGUUGAGGACUAACAAAUGCGAAAGCAUUCACCAAAAAGGGCGAAUUCCAG